CUGCUGGGCCAUCACUGACGCUCAUGGACGAAAGCCAGGGGAGCGAAAGGGAUUAGAUACCCCUGUAGUCCUGGCCGUAAACGAUGAACACUAGGUGUCGGGGGAAUCGACCCCCUCGGUGUCGUAGCCAACGCGUUAAGUGUUCCGCCUGGGGAGUACGCACGCAAGUGUGAAACUCAAAGGAAUUGACGGGGGCCCGCACAAGCGGUGGAGUAUGUGGUUUAAUUCGAUGCAACGCGAAGAACCUUACCAGGAUUUGACAUCCUGCGAAUCUCUUGGAAACGAGAGAGUGCCUUCGGGAGCGCAGUGACAGGUGGUGCAUGGCUGUCGUCAGCUCGUGUCGUGAGAUGUUGGGUUAAGUCCCGCAACGAGCGCAACCCACGUCUUUAGUUGCCAGCAUUUAGUUGGGCACUCUAGAGAGACCGCCGGUGAUAAACCGGAGGAAGGUGUGGAUGACGUCAAGUCAUCAUGCCCCUUACAUCCUGGGCUACACACGUACUACAAUGCUACGGACAAAGAGCAGCAAGUUCGCGAGGACAAGCAAAUCUCAUAAACCGUGGCUCAGUUCAGAUCGUAGGCUGCAACUCGCCUACGUGAAGGAGGAAUCGCUAGUAAUCGCAGGUCAGCAUACUGCGGUGAAUACGUUCCCGGGCCUUGCACACACCGCCCGUCACACCAUGGAAGUUGGCCACGCCCGAAGCCGUUACUCCAACCCUUGUGGAGGAGGACGUCGAAGGUGGGGCUGAUGACUGGGGUGAAGUCGUAACAAGGUAGCCGU
rnacentral:rRNA from 1 species